AUUGAACGCUGGCGGCAUGCCGUACACAUGCAAAUCGAACGGUAACGGGCCUUCGGGUGCCGACGAGUGGCGAACGGGUGAGUAAUACAUCGGAACGUGCCCGAUCGUGGGGGAUAACGAGGCGAAAGCUUUGCUAAUACCGCAUACGAUCUACGGAUGAAAGCAGGGGACCGCAAGGCCUUGCGCGGACGGAGCGGCCGAUGGCAGAUUAGGUAGUUGGUGGGAUAAAAGCUUACCAAGCCGACGAUCUGUAGCUGGUCUGAGAGGAUGAUCAGCCACACUGGGACUGAGACACGGCCCAGACUCCUACGGGAGGCAGCAGUGGGGAAUUUUGGACAAUGGGCGCAAGCCUGAUCCAGCCAUGCCGCGUGCAGGAUGAAGGCCUUCGGGUUGUAAACUGAUUUUGUACGGAACGAAAAGCCUUCUUUUAAUACAGGAGGGUCAUGACGGUACCGUAAGAAUAAGCACCGGCUAACUACGU
rnacentral:rRNA from 1 species